rnacentral:tRNA from 1 species
GUUCUUGUAGUUGAGUAACAACAGUGAUUUUUCAAGUCACAGGUCCUGGUUAAAGUCCGGGUAGGAAUU